GUGCCAGCAGCCGCGGUAAUACGGAGGGUGCAAGCGUUAUCCGGAUUCACUGGGUUUAAAGGGUGCGUAGGUGGAUUAGUAAGUCAGUGGUGAAAUCUCCGGGCUUAACCCGGAAACUGCCAUUGAUACUAUUAGUCUUGAAUACCGUGGAGGUCAGCGGAAUAUGUCAUGUAGCGGUGAAAUGCUUAGAUAUGACAUAGAACACCAAUUGCGAAGGCAGCUGGCUACACGAGCAUUGACACUCAGGCACGAAAGCGUGGGGAUCAAACAGGAUUAGAUACCCUAGUAGUCC
rnacentral:rRNA from 1 species